GACGUAGGGCGCGAGCGUUGUCCGGAUUUAUUGGGCGUAAAGAGCUCGUAGGCGGCUUGUCGCGUCGACUGUGAAAGCCCGCGGCUCAACCGCGGGUCUGCAGUCGAUACGGGCAGGCUAGAGUUCGGUAGGGGAGACUGGAAUUCCUGGUGUAGCGGUGAAAUGCGCAGAUAUCAGGAGGAACACCGAUGGCGAAGGCAGGUCUCUGGGCCGAUACUGACGCUGAGAAGCGAAAGCAUGGGGAGCGAACAGG
rnacentral:rRNA from 1 species